UCUCUUCUUCUCCACAGCUGAGAGAGACGGACGCCAACUUGGGCAAGAGCUCUCGGAUCCUGACCAGCAUGCUGAGAAGGAUCAUUCAAAAUCGUAUUCUGGUCUUCAUCCUGGGCGCCAUCAUCCUCCUCACCAUCGUCUUGGCCAUCUAUUUCAAUUUGCGAGGACACUGAUCUCCACUGACUGGCCCUAUGCGUGCACGUGUGAGUGUGUACGAGCAUGUGUGUAUGAUUAAUAGUGACAAAAGUGUUGGGCUGGAGUAAUUAGGACAAAUUGUUCACAUGAAUCAUUCCUGGUGGGCAGUGACAGGGGGCCUCUCCUCACUGCUCUCGAGUGGAGCGGGACCGUUAUCACCCUCUCUCCCCUUAUAUUUAUGCUACGUCCAUUACUUUUAAAACUUACCGACCCAUAGA